rnacentral:rRNA from 1 species
CCUACGGGAGGCAGCAGUAAGGAAUAUUGGACAAUGGGCGCAAGCCUGAUCCAGCCAUGCCGCGUGAAGGACGAAGGCGCUCAGCGUUGUAAACUUCUUUUGGAUGGGAAUAAUAAUCGAGACUUGUCUUGACUUGAAGGUACCAUCAGAAUAAGCACCGGCUAACUCCGUGCCAGCAGCCGCGGUAAUACGGAGGGUGCAAGCGUUAUCCGGAAUCACUGGGUUUAAAGGGUGCGUAGGCGGUCCGAUAAGUCAGCUGUGAAAUCGCUGGGCUCAACCCAUGCAAUUGCAGUUGAUACUGUCGGACUUGAAUAGGUUUGAGGCUAGCGGAAUGCGACAUGUAGCGGUGAAAUGCUUAGAUAUGUCGCAGAACACCGAUUGCGAAGGCAGCUAGCUGGGCCCUUAUUGACGCUGAGCACGAAGACGUGGGAGACAACAGAGUAGAUACCUACGUAGUCCACGACCCGUAACCGAUGCUUACUUGUCUGUUCCUUCGUUUCGGUAGGAGUGG